ACGUUGACCAGACAAAGCGUGUCUGUGAAGAAGCAACUUGAAUACAUAGACAAAUGAGAAUUAUUAACAAAACACAGGUGAUGGAGGUUAAUUAAUGAAGACUAAAUGAGACCAGGAACAUAACCAAAUAUGGGCACACAGGAAAUAAACCAGAACACAAGACAGGAAAACAGAGAAUCAAGGUCCAUAAGACAUGGCGUGACACUUAGAUUAAGGAGACUGUCAGUGUAAAUUAUAAGAAGACAUGCAAUAUAUUUGUAUUGUAACUGAUGGUUUUGGUGUCAUUCUUCUGACCUGCAUUUAUAUAUUGGGUGUGCUUCUAUUUUAUAGUUUUUCUAUCUCUUCCUUUCUUCUAGCUCUAUUUAAAAGUACUUUGCAAAAAGUUCAGUACUACCCUGAAUUUGACAAAAUUGUUAUAAAAGUCCUGUUUUCAGUAGUGAUUCUUACCUGCUUCUGCAAAAUAAUUUACGUUUUCAUUAUAGAGAUUGGAAUAAAGCGUGGAAGGAAAAUUGAAUUGUUUGACCUUGUGGCUGAUAUGACCUUUGAUAUUGUGCCUACAUUACAAUUCAUCCUCCUGUUCUACACUUUUGCAUCAAUCAGAGGAGCAUUCAUCGUAAUUGUAAUCUUACCAGUGUUACUGAUGAUGACGAACGACAGAUGGACUUUUAGAUGUGGAAGGC